rnacentral:rRNA from 1 species
GACGAACCGUGCGAACGUUGUUCGGAAUCACUGGGCUUAAAGGGCGCGUAGGCGGGCUGUCAAGUCUGGGGUGAAAUGCCGCGGCUCAACCGUGGAACUGCCUUAGAUACUGACGGCCUCGAGGAAGGUAGGGGCAUGCGGAACUGGUAGGUGGAGCGGUGAAAUGCGUUGAUAUCUACAGGAACUCCGGUGGCGAAAGCGGCGUGCUGGACCUUUUCUGACGCUGAGGCGCGAAAGCUAGGGGAGCAAACGGGG